CAUAUGUUAAUGAUUUGUCAAGAAACUUACUUCUGUGAAUCUCUCCUUGAUAUCCACUCUUCAAUUUCAUGAUGGCCCUUGGAUUUUGAUAAAUAUUGUGUAGUGUAUGUUUAGUAUCUACUGCUUUUAAUUCUCUCAUUAUGUUUCUGAUGGUAUAAGUAAAAAAGUUAUUGUUUGAGCUUGAGGCUAUGACUGUUCUGGAUUACCUCGUAGCCCUUGGGUCAGAGUGCGUCAUAGAUGUGACCAGGGAAUAUGCUUAUCAACUACAAACAUUGGCUGAUUUUCAAUAUAUUGAUUCCAGAGGAAGGGACCAGGGAAGCAAUGUCAGGAAGAAAUCUCAGAGUCUUGUGGUUCUAGUGAACGAUAAAGAAAAAAUAAUUGAAGUUAGACAGAAGGCUGCUUCUAACAGGGACAAGUUCCAUAGCACCUCAUCAACUGGUGGAAUGUAUAGGCCCAGUUCAUAUUCUGGUAUUGGAGGAUAUGGCGACUGAUUUGAUGAUGACCGUUAUGAAGGCCGCUACGGAAGCAGGGAUGAAGACUUUGGGAGAGAGAGAGAAACUGGUUAUAGGGAUGACGGGCCCCAUGGUAGAUACGGGGACUCAUGUAGUCGUGAUGGAGAUCGUUAUGGCAGAGAUUACGAGGAAUGCUAUAGUAGAGAUGGUUAUAGGGAUGAUGAUUAUAGAGGAAGAAGUCAGAGUGUCGAUUACCAGUAUGGCUCAAGAAGUAGGAGCUCCAACAGAGACAGAGACCAUGCUUUUGAUGAUGAUGGUCAAUAUUCAUCUCGAGGCAGUGGUGGCAGAGCUGACGAUCAAUCUCUAGAUGGAAGGCGGCUUGAACGGAAAUUUUCUGAACAGAAUAUUGGUGCUCCUCCAAGUUAUGAAGAAGCUGUAAGUGAGUCCCGAAGCCCUGUUCACAGUCAAAGGUAUAAAUAGUGC